rnacentral:rRNA from 1 species
CCCUUAGAUGCUCUGGGCCGCACGCGCGCUACACUGGUCGAUGCAACGAGUUUCUUUCCUUGGCCGACAGGCCUGGGCAAUCUUUGAACAUCGAUCGUGAUCGGGAUAGAUUCUUGUAAUUUUUGAUCUUAAACGAGGAAUUCCUAGUAAACGCAAGUCAUCAGCUUGCAUUGAUUACGUCCCUGCCCUUUGUACACACCGCCCGUCGCACCUACCGAUUGAAUGGUCCGGUGAAAUCUCUGGACUGGCGUGAGUCGGAGCAAUCUGACAAACACCGGAAAGUUGAUUAAACCUUACCAUUUAGAGGAAGGUGAAGUCGUAACA